CUGUGGGAGAAGAGGCUGUGCCAAUGAGUGCUGCUCAACUUGGAGGCCAUUCAAAGGAGGAUUUGAUUGUGCCUGCUGUGGGAAGAAGGAAUAUGCGUGCACAUGGCCACUUCCCAUAGGUUUUACCCCAGAUUUUCAUGAGCAGCUGUCCUAGUGAAAGUCAAGUCUGUUUUAGUGAGUAUUUGAGGGCUUCCAGAGCACAGUGCCAUCUCAGGGGAAUUCUGCUGGUUGAGUUCUACUGAGGCUUUGAGAUGAGUUGCAAAUCCUGAAAAUGUUCUCCUUGCCCAGGAAUUGCUUCGGUGUUACUUCACAUCAUCCAUUAAAAAUUUGAUGCCUGGAACAAGU